AAAAAUAAAAACUCUUGUUAUUUGCUUUUGACACUACCUACCGCCCACCCGCCCAUUGUCCACCAUUGGUCGCCCAUCGUUGACUACCUACUGUUGCUCACCACUGUUAGUCAAUCACCUCCCGCCCACCAGUCUUUGCUCAUUGCCACUUAUAAGAGAAAAUUUUAUCUCGUUAUCAAACAAAUACGAAUAUUUUUAUAUAUCAUAUUUUGCUUUAAAAACUUAUCUCCAAAAUAUAAAUUGAUUUCUAAAACAAAAUGGUUAUUAUUUAUGUCCAAAUAACUAAAUUUUGUUUUUGAUCAAUUAGGCAUCUCCACUAUCAAAAUGUCUUGAUGUUAAACUUUCGUGUCGUGUCAUGUCAUAUAAUUUUGCUAAUGUCAACCAUUUGACUUAGGCACAAACAACAAUGUGGAAAGUUAAGUCAUUAUCUAUUUCCAACCCAACACCAAAAAAAAAAAAAAAAAACAUUCCCUUUCCUUGCUUUUUCUCUUUUUCCUUUCCUUCGUGUUUUUCUUCUUCCUCCUUCCUUCGCCUACUGCUGUUGCCACUACCACCGGCAACCAUACUUAGCGGCCACCAUCUAUAGCCACACUGCUAUCGCCACUUUUGGGUUGGUGGCAAGGCACAAGGGUUGACGUCUUUGGCGAGAAUAAUGCUAAGAGGAAGAGCGCAAGGAGGUGGAGGAGUUUUUCUUCUUAUGUAUUUCAUUGGAAGAAUGAGGAGACUAUCUACUUCCUUACAUUCACCUAAUUAAAACAUCGACUUCAGCAAAAAUCAUGUGAUCUGGUACGGAAAAUCUUAAUAUCAAACCAUAUAGCAAAAUUUGAGACAUUUAAUUUAAUAUAGGAAUACUAGAUUGUGCAAUGAGAAAAACUUCGGACUCAUGUGAAGUUAUUACAAACUAGAAUGUUGAGCAUUUCAAGCUAAGAAAAAAUUCUGAUUAUGUGAAGACUAAAAAACUCACUGUUUUUUUUUCAAUCUCUUUCUUUCUUUGUUAAGAUCAGAUUAUGUGAAGACCUAACAAAAAUUUUGAGAAAAAAUGAACUCCUCAAGGAAAACAUGCAUUAUUGAGAGAAGAAAAUGAGAAUGCUGAAACUUUUCUUGGAGAACCUGGUUUAGGGCGAAAGCCUAUUUUCCAAGUAGCACGUCAAAUUAGGACAAGUUAGUCUUCAAGACUAGUUUUGAAGCGGGCAUUCUAAGUUUUAUUUUAUUUUAUUUUUUUAUGCACGAGAACUGACCUUUUUCCCAAGAGUUUCAGCUUCACCAAACAUUCUCGCACCAUUACGCUGUGUCAAAUUGCUAAUCACAAAUUUUUUCUCCUUGCUUUUUUUUUUUUCCUUUUUUAUGGAGCACGAAAUUCAUUGAGGAAAAGAGGGAAAAAAAGUAACAAUUACAAGUUGAAAGAAAUUGCUCUUGGCAUAUUGAGAUCUUCUCAAUUAGAGAAGACCAUGCAAUCCUUUCAUUUGCUUAUCUUUUCUCUAUUGUCUCUCUAUCCAGAGGUCGAUGACCUUGAUUUUGCUUCAAAGAGAUCAAGUAAGUUGACGAUGAGACCCACAUGAUUAAUGAUCCAAACGAUAUGAUCUACAUGAUCUGUAAACCUUAGGCUAUGCAUGACGCCAACAUAGGUGACGUAGUGGCCGGAGGCUAGAGAGGGAGACUAACAAUAGCUUUUAGGGUGGCCGAAGGUUUAGGAUCAUGGUAGAAGGGUAUAUAGCAUGGCUUUCUCCUUUUCCCAUCCCUUUGGUGCUACAAGCCCAUUAAUGACGCGGUUCCCUCCUUUUAAACUUCCACACCAAACUCGUUAUCUCAACUUCGACCUUAUGACGUGGUUCCCUCCUUUUGAACUUCCACACCAAACACGUUAUUUCCCUUCGACCUUUGACAUAUAGACCUUGAAAUUCCAUGUCUUCAACCUCAUCUUAAUCCUCACAUCUCCUCCACCAUUAUUCCACAUCUCUAGUCCUCCAUUUUCUUCGGGCUUUUUGAUAGUUUGUUCUUAAAAAAUUCGAGCAAAGACGCGCUUCGAUUGGGUAAUUGUCUUCAUGUUCGAUGGCACCUAGUACUAUCUGAAAGGUGAUUGGGGCCAUCAAGGACCAGACGAGCAUCGGCAUAGCCGAGGUCUCAAACAACUUGGCGGUGCAGCUCGAGAUCUUGGUGGUGAAGGCCACCAGCCAUGACGAGGACCCCGCGAACCAGAGGCAUGUCAGGGAGAUCCUCGCCUUCACCGCACACUCCAAAGCGUUCCUCAACACCUGUAUUGCCUUGAUCUCGAGGCAGUUGAGCAAGACACGCUAUUGGACGGUGGCCCUCAAGGCCCUCCUGCUUGUGCACCGAAUAGUGGUCGACGGGCAUCCCAGUUCGAAACGAGAUCAUCUUCACUUCUUGCCGCAGGAUGUGGCUACUCAACAUGUCGCACUUCCAGGACGAGGCUCACUCAAAUUUGGGGGACCAUUCGGGUUUGGUGAGGCUCUACGUUAUGUAUCUCGAGGAGAAGGUUGAGUUUUUGGUGGUUGAGAAGAGACAGGAGGGCGGCGGCCAGUGACGCAGAGGGGAAAUAUGAAGAGAGAAAUGAAUUUGAUCAUGACAGGAGGCCAAGUCCUGCAAAGAAAGAGAUAGCGUUGAUCAAAGAAAUGAGGCCCGAGAGAGUUUCAGCCAGGUUGAAUCACCAACUGAGAAUUCUCGAUCGGGUUUUGGCUUGUAGGCCAGCCAGAGCGGCCAAGACUAGUUGGUUGUUGUUCAUUUAACUAGUAGGUUCCUCGAGAAGCUAGCGGCCCAAUCACAGCUGCUACAUAUUUAUGCAAUGGCCAAUCAAUAUAUGCGAGCUUUAAAGACAGAAGCAACGGUGUUCUUACUGCUUCUGCCCUCAGAUUGAUAUGCUGUAUAAAUUCUGCUGCUUAUAUCCCUCCAAACCCUAGGUAAGUUGGUUAUUACUGCUUAGUUAACCUCAUUCCUUUAUGAAAAUGGCAAGUCUCAUUUGCGAAGUUUCAGUAGUCUCACAAGUUAUUCAUUUCUGAUGUAUUUGGCAGCUUGAGAAUCUACCCGCUAGUCAUUGCAGCACAUCCAUUUGAACGUAACCAGUUUGCACUAGGGCUUACUGAUGGCAGCAUCUAUAUUCUUGAGCUGUUGGAAUGCGAAGGAGAGUGGGAUGCUUCUCCACCUGUUGAAGAUAGUGUUGGGCCUAGCACGACCUCUGGCACAACCAGCUCAGAUCAAUCGCCUUUGUCCACGGUUGAUGAGGCUAGCUUUCCCCAGAUUUGGGCAAUGCGGCUUCACCCGCGGCGACAACGGCCACCACCAUGUGAUCUAGGCAUGGCCACAGUAAAAAAAGAAAGAAAGAAAAGAAGGAGCGUCAUCAUAAGGAGUUUUAAGCUCAUCUCCCCCCACACACUUUUGGUGGAGGGCUAAACCCCCACGCGCGUGGUUGAAUUACAAGCCUAUUUAUAGUGGAUCGUUCUGGUUUGCAAGCUGCACGCUUGCUUGCACAUUCUUUGUUCACACUAGUUGACUUCAAGUUGCAUUUUCAACUUUGCUUCUUCUGACAGCCCACGAUCUUCCCUUCUUCAGCAGCCAUUCUUGAUUUUUUUUUUUUUCAAGGUUUCCACGAGCUGUCCAUCACCUAAGACUUUCUUCAAAAUUACGUUAGUUGAUCACUUGUUGAGAAUGCUAGAGAAUUUGGAAGAUGAAUUGCAAUUUCCAACAAAAGAAAAAUAGAAGAAAAGGAAAAAGAAAAAGAAAUGUCCACAUGCCUUACUAUGUAGAAAGACCUGUGUUUAUAUUAGUGAUUUUCAAUUAAAAUUUAGCUAAAUGGAUUAUAUUGUUAAAUUGUCAAAAAGUUCGUGACUAAAUUGAUCAAUUUCUUUGCAAAUGAACACAAGCAAAUGAGAGUAUGAGAAUGAGCCUCUUUUUCGUCUCAUCCAUGUCCCAAUCAUCCUUUCCUUAUGGUAGUAUGCUAUCAGCCUCAAAAGACUGUGAUUUCUCAUCAAGUGAGCCUCUAUUGUCAUAGCAAAGUGCUUGCACUUCAAAUGAUUAGAGAAGCCAGAAGUGCAAUAUGAGGGCAUCUAAUUUGAUUCUUAUAUAGCGGGUUUAACCCCGACAAUUUUGGAUGUCGCACCUCGAAGGCACAUUCUUCUAAACACUGAUUUUUUCUCUAGACAUUUCCACAUAAUUUGGAAUCAGUUUCACUUAUAAAUCAGAAAGGCAUUGGGUAUCCUCCGUUUUGAGAAGAGUUUCUUGACGUGGGAGUUCUAAAGGGAAUUGAAGCCUAUUUGGUAUAGUUGUAACUAAAUUGUAUUUGUACCGUAUUGCGAUAUACCGUAAUUUCUACGUUUGGUAGCACAUGUUUUAUAGUUGUCAUGACCCUCUCGACUAGGCAAGAAAGAAUAGGUUUUGAGGUAAUGUCAAAGGCAAAGAUUCUUCCAAAUACUUACCUCACACGACAUUGAUUUUUUAUUUUAAAUUUUAAUUUUUAUUAUAAUCUGAAUAUAGGGACCUGGGCCGGACCCUUGGGCCUAGUUUGGACGUGAGCUGCACGCUGGUCUCAUGAAUCUCGGCUAAUGGGCACAUUCGGGCUUUUAUAUCCAGCCCCCUCCAAUUCUAACUCUACUAAGCCCAAGUCAGAUUACACCCAUCUUAAGCUCAUUACCCAUGGUAAUAACCUCUAGCCCACUUUCUCUCCUAACUGCAUCAAGUCCAUCUUUAAGCCCAAUUUAUGUUAUAGAUAAAUUAAACCCUAAUCCCACGCUAACCCCAUCUUAUUAUUAUUCGUUGCCCAUUUUUCCUCUUUUCUUACAUCUUUCAUCAUUUUUUAUUAUUGUUAUUCUUCUUUAAUCUUUCAGCCCGGCAUCCUCUUCAAAGGAAACCGAUAAGCUGCCAGCUCAUUCGUAGUUAAAUACAUUAAAUCCACAAAACAUGAGCAUUAUCUUUCAUUGUCCAUUUGUAUUAUAAGAAUCGAAUCUAAAUGCUAACGGACUGAUUGGUAGCAAGUAAUAUAUGCUACUUCAAAUAGAAAUGGAUUAGAAAUUAUAUCACUGACGUGUCUUGGAGACAUUUCAUCAAAUAGUCUAUGGGCACCGAAGGGAUUGUAUCCAGUCAUGAAAUCGAAACUGUAUUUUCAUCUAAAUUCAGUGUCAAAAUCAAAAAGCCAUCACGAAUAAUCAAAUUACAACUCAGAUCAUCAAGUGAUUUUUCCCGCAUCUUUCCAAAACAGGGCAGAAAAUGGGAAUGAAAUCACCUUGUCAAGGAGUUCUUGGUUUUGGUCACUGGUUCAAGCUUGCACGAAGAUCUAAAAAGUGUUGCCCACAAGAGUAUGCGCCGGCAACAAAGCUUCGAACACCUUACAUCUAAAAAAUUGUUGCUAAACCACGUCCAGUGAAGCAAUUUUAUUAAAAGCUAUUGUAAUCUUGAAGGGGCUACAAUUGCGAAAUAUUUGCUGAACAUCUUACAAAACCUGCAUCACCCAUCUUUUACAGUCCAAGUUACCGCAAGAAAGCUUACCGAAUAGUCUCUCUAUCAAAAAAAAAAAAAAAAACUCUUCGUACAUCUAACAUUAAUUAUUUUUACUCUUCCCAAAAUCAUUCACAUAUUUUUAGAUGGUCAUAAUAUGAAUUAAGUUAAAUAGUAAUUUUUAUGAGAGUCAAAUUAUUAAUUCGAAACCUUCAAACAAAGAAUUAUAAAAGGAGAUUGCCAAUGGCAUUGGGAGGCAAUUUGGCAAAAGAAGUAAUUCUAAUAGGUACAGUAAGGGCCUGUUUGGCAACGUGCCAAGAUUCUGAUUUUUUGUUCCUAGAAUCAGUUUGGGACGAGAAUCGCGUUUGGUAAAAUUUUUAUUCCCGGGAACAGUUUUGGACAAGAUUUGAGAAUAAAAAAAAAAUUGAUUCUCUGUCCGAGAAUUAGAAAGAGAAUCGAAAUCUUAUGUCCUCUGCUCCUCUACUCGACGGUCUCUCGUCCUCUCCACUCUCUUGUCCUCUCAUCUCCUCUACUCACAGUCUCACUCUCCUCUGCUCAGUCUCACUCUCUCAUCCUCUCAUCUCCUCUACUCAAUCUCACUCUCUCCCUCCUCAAGAACGGCGACGGCGAGCUCCUCAAGAAUGGCGACGUCGACUGCUGCUUCUUCAUCGUUGAAGCUACUCGUUCAAGGUGAGUUCCCUUCACUCGCAGCUAUGGGUGGUUCUUUGUCUGCGACGGCUAGGGGUGAGCAACGGUCUAGGGUUGACCCUGGACCGACCCUGGACCAGCCCAACCCUGUCGGUCCUGGUCCGGUUCCCAAGGGAACUGGGUCGGUCCUUGGUCCUGAAAUUCCAGGACCAACACUGUGCGGGUUGGUCCUCGGUCCUAAGAGUUUUGGGUCGGUCCAACCCUGGACCAACCCUGUAUAUUAUAUUAAUGUCUGUUAUGUUAUAUUAUAUUAUAUUAAGAUAUUCUAUCAAUAGCACUAAUAGUAAUUUCAAUUUAAAAAUUUUGUUGAGUAUUAAUUAUGUGUCAUUUGUUUUGUUUUCAGGUGUUUAGAAGUUUAAGUGAAUUAACAAGAUGUGAAGUUAUAUAUUCAUGGUUUAUAUUAAGUAUUUUGAACUUUUUAUGGUUUAAUUGUAUUUUACUAAUGAAUUUCAGCUACACUUUGCUUUUCAAUUUGUGUCAAAUGGUAGAAGUUUUUGAAGAGUAGAGUAGUAUUGCAGUUGCUACGGUGAUUUGCUACAUGAUCAAAUGCAGGAAAACGCUUUUGCAUAUGGUUUUAUGAAUAUUAAAGAUAGAUGACUACAAGAACUUUCCAUCUUGUCCCAUAUCUCGAUAAGCGGUUAGCAGGUACAAAAUUUCUAUUAUUGUGUCAUCUUAAAUUUGCUAAAUAUGUAUUGGUAUUUAUAGUUUAGUUGCAUAAUGCCGCAUUGUCGAUGGAUGUGUAAUUUGAAUGUAUAGGUUUGCUUUUUUAGGGAGUAUAAAAAAAUAAGACGAAAAAAAUUAUUGAUCGGUCCCGGGUUAACCCUGGAAUCGGACCGAACCCAUUGCGUCUGUCCGGUCCUUGGUCCCAUGCUUUAUAGGGUCGGUCCUCGGUCCUAAAAAUGAGGACGACACUGUACGGGUUUGAUCCUAGGGGUUAGGGGGGUGGCCCGGACCAACCCGGACCACGCUCCCCCGCUCGCGACGCCCGGUGGGAGCGACCCCCGCGGCCAGCUCGGCUGGCGCUCGCCGAGUCGGCCCCGGGGGUCACUCGCCGAGUUGGCCGAGGGCAAGUGACGCUAAGGGACCCAUGCGCCCGACUUCGUGGGCGCCCUCGCCGAGCUGGCCGAGGGCUAGCGAGCCCAGGCGUCGCUCGCCUUGGGCCCGACAACCCCUCGGCCAACUCGACGAGGACGCCCGCUGAGUUGGGCUAUUGCCAAUUCUUUGCGUAGAGAGUUUAUUGUUGUUUUGAUGUCAUGCAGGGGUUACGUCGGGAUUCACAGCUUCGGUUUCAGAGACUUCCUCUUGAAGCUAGAGUUGCUUCGUGCUAUUGUGGACUCCAGUUUCAAGCACCCAUCUGAAGGCAAACUUCAUACUCGUUGAACUUCUUUUGAUGUUUAUGUAUUGGUCGUCGUCGACUGGAUCGUUUACGUGUUGUGUGUGUCUUUCUUUGUUCUAUCGGUACAUAUUUGGAUAAGAUAUUGUGGAAGCAAAGAGCGGAUGACGGCAGAUGGAGGGAAGGAAAAAGAAAUAGAGCGGGACGGGUCGUAGUUGGGAGUGACAAUUCUAAUGUUCUUGAAUGCCGCAAGUGGGCUGAGAGGUCAAUUGCAAUUCGUGUUCAUGUAUUGGUUUAUGUUGUGAUCCUCCCGCUCAAUUCGGAUUGGGAGUUAUGAUUGUGAUGAGGUGCGAAUAGACAAAGGCUCUAGUGCUGAGUACAUCGGUUUUGAGCUUGGGGAAGUGAUAUUUGUAUUGUGAAUUUGGCUGAUUAGGCAUUUCAGGGUUGGGGGAAGUUGUAGACUGUGUUGUGCAGCUGUAGUGCCUAGUUCAAUGGGGGCAAACUAUACCUGAAUGAUCCCUCAUGUGUACAUUUGGAUGUUUUCAAAGCAUAUGAUUGACGGUGUUGUGUUGUUUUCUGGUUAGUUUUGUUAAGCUAAUGAAUUGCACGUUGUAGGUUUCCAUGGAGUAGCUUUAUGCAAAAGAGGAGGCUCAUGUUGUUUACUUAUUCUCUUUUCAUCACAUUGCAUUGAAUAUAUAGCUCUUUAAGUUCACGAAGGACAUUAGAAAUAUACUGAAAUAUUGUUUUGAGUUGUUUCCUCAAAGUGUUCAUCUCAUCUGAUUUUUUCCAGGCCGUUGAUUCAUUUUUAGUAGAAAGGUUGUGAUUCAUUCUAAGUAAAGUAAUCCUAUUUCAGGUCAGCUGGAAGUUGUUGGUUUGAAGUUGUGGGUUUGCAUUUGAACAAGAAGCCAUAUCAAGUGAGUUUCAUUGGAGCAUCUUUUUCUUUUUUUCCCUACUUACCCGGUUACACUUUAUCUUCCAUGAUAGUUUUAAGUGUCAUCAAAAUUAAUUUAUAUGAUGCUCAAUUAAGGUAAAAUGGCAUCCCAGAAAGAUGUGUUCAAUGCAAAAUGGACUAAGCCUUUAACCAACUUGUUUGUAAGAUUGUUGGUUGAGGAGGUUCAAAAGGGAAAUCGUACGACUUUUACUUUUAACAAAGUAGGAUGGAAUAACAUACGAGCUGAAUUCAAUAAACAAUUAGGAUACCAAUAUAACAUAUCGCAGUUCAAAAAUAAGGUAAACAAACUGAGAAGGCAGUAUGGUAGUUUUAAGAAUCUCCUUUCACAAUCUGGCUUUGGCUGGGAUAAUGUGAAUGACACAGUUGUUGUCGAGGAUCCAAGUAUUUGGGACUCUCACAUCAGGGUAUGUUUUAAGUUUCGAUCAUUUUGAUAUUACAAUAAAUGUAAGUUUUAGAAUAUUUGAUUAUGUUAUUGACAUAUGUCAUUAUUGUGAAAAUUGCAGGAUAAUAAUGACUGGGCAAAAUUCAAGAAGGAUGGAUUUCCUCAAUAUCCUGAAUUGUGCAUUGUAUUUGGUGAUACAUAUGCUACUGGAGAGCAUGCCAUAGGGAAUGCCGAAAAUGUGACGUUGUUAGAGGAUGGUGGCAAUGGUGGUGGCAAUGGUGGUGGCAAUGCAACUGGUGAUCCAGAGGACUUAGGUGAACACCAAAUUGAUGAGGACAUUUUUACAUCCCAGUAUACUUCCACUUCCAUUCAUAAAAAGCAUAGAUUGGAUAGGACUCCAAAUGUCAAGAGGAGAAAAAAUAGUCCCUCAUUUGAUAUUGCAGACACAUGCAAAGCUAUCCAAGACAUACUCAAAACUAGGUCAAGUCAAUUUGUGAGUGGAUCUGUUAGCUCACAAGUCACACCACCACCACCACCACCUGGAGACCCCUACUCCAUAUCAGUUGUGAUUGAUAUUCUGGUUAAUAUGAAUGACUUGGACCAAGAUACUUACAACAAAGUAGUGGAACGAGCAUGUGGUAGUGCCGUAUGGAGAGAGGCUUUCAUCAAAACACCAGCUGAAAGGAGACAUGGACUUCUUCAAUAUCUAUUGUAGAUGUCGAGAUGUGUUUUAUGGAUUGCAUGUGCUUUCACUUAACUAUGUGAUUUAAUUGUUCAAACUCUUUUGUGUUGUUGUAUGAAUAAUAUGGAUUAUGUGAGAUUUUUAUAUUUGAUCUACUUCUACUUUAGAACUUAAAUUGUUAAGAGCGUGUUUGGAUUUUUUUUUUUUCAUAUUUCUUUGUUAAUGUUAUUAUAUUUGUGUGAUGAUAUAGGUACUAUGGAAGAUGGAUCAAAUAAAAUGUCUAAUGAGCAGGUACAAUCAGUUGACCAAUUCUUGGAUGACGAUGAUCUUGACAUAUUGAUAGGAUGGUUAUGCAUGGUUGCGAUGGAUAUGUCCGUGCAUACGAAAGAACCUAUUAGGGACAGCAAUCUAUCGGGACUGGAAUGGAUGAGAGAGCUUAUUUGUGGACAUUCAGAUAGAAUAUAUGAAGCCUUCAGGAUGUAGAGGCAUGUUUUUUUGAACCCAUGUGAUUUGAUGAGGAUAAGAGGUUGGUUGAAAGAUAGUCGGUAUAUUAUGAUAGAUGAACAAGUUGGGAUCUUCUUAUCUUUGGUUGGUCAUAAUAACUCAACUAGAGAUUUAUGUGAGAGAUUUCAACGUUCAGGACAUACAAUCAGCACGUAUUUUAAUUUAGUGUUGAAAGCAGUUCUCAAACUUGCUAAAAAGAUUAUCAAAUCACCAUCAUUUGAUGUUGUUCCACCGGAAAUUCUUAUGAAUCCUAACCAUGAACGCUAUUUCAAGGUAUAGUUUUCAUAUCAAUUGUGCAUCAUCAAAUACAUGUAGUUCAUAAUUUUUGAAUGUUCAUAAAUCCACAUGAUUUUUUUUUUUAAAUAAAUUCACAGGAUUGCGUAGGUGCUAUUGAUGGCACCCAUAUAGAUGUUACUGUCCCCAGGUCUCAGCAAAUCCCAUAUAGAGGCAGAAGAGGAAAUACCACUCAUAAUGUGUUAUGUGUCUGUUCGUUUGAUAUGAAAUUUACGUUCGUAUAUUCUGGAUGGAAAUGAUCUGCUAACGAUUGUCGAGUGCUUUCGGCAGCACUUGCAACUCCUCAAUUGCAAUUUUCUCGACCACCACCAGGUAUUUGAUUUGUUUAUAAGGAAAAAUUCAUUUUAUGAUUGUUUCGUCAUUGUAUAUCAUAAUUAAUUUAUAUAUAUAUAUAUAUAUAUAUAUAUAUUAUAAGCAAAUACUACGUGGUAGAUUCUGGUUAUGUAGCACAGCCGGGAUUUUUAACUCCAUUUAGAGGUGAACGGUAUCAUCUGAACGAUUAUAAGGGGGAGUGGAAGACGGCCAAGGACAGCAAAAGAAUUAUUCAACUAUAGACAUUCUUCUUUAAGAAAUGUCAUUAAGAGGUCAUUUGGGGCAUUAAAGAAUCGCUUCACCAUUUUGAGACACAUGCCUCCAUUUACAAUAAAAAAAAAAAAAGCAAGCACUUAUUGUAAUUGCAUGUUGUGCUCUUCAUAAUUAUAUUCGUGAUCAAGACAGGAUGGACAAAAACUUUUCCCGAUAUGGAGAUCUGGAGUACCCAUAUGGAACUAGAGAAGUGGAUGAGAGAGAGAGAGAAGUAUAUUGGCUAAAUUAAAAUUAACAUGGAGUAGCUUUAUGAAAUUUAAAAUGGAUUAGAUAUUUAAUCAUAUAAAAGUAAAUAUUAAUUGAAAAUGAGAAAUCACCAUGAUAAAAAAAACUCUUAUUUAAAUAUAAAUAAUAUUGAAAUUCUAAUAAGAAAACCAAAUUUAAAAUAACAACAAUUUUUUAUUUUAUUUUUAUCUAUUUUUUAUUUCUAUAUUUUAUUUUAAUUUCUUCCUAUUCUGAAAUAUAUUUUUGCUAUAUACAGAAUAAAUAUUUAAUUUCAUAUUAUAAUUUAGUAUUUAUAUUUAUUACAUAUUUUUGGGAUAUUUGUAUAGUUUAUGCUAUGGUUUAUUAUUUACUAUUUAAUAAAAAUUGAUUAGUUAAUAUUUUUAUUACUUACUAUAAAAAUAUAAUUGAUUAGUGAAUGGUUUAUGAAAAUUCAAUAUCAAAUUUACAUUCAUCUAAAAAGGUAAUUAAAAAGAAUUAGAAUAUAAAUUUUAUUCCAGAAUCAGAAAUUUUAUUUGUUACCAAAUGUUUCUGUUCUUUUUCUAUUCCAGAAUCAGAAAUUUUAUUCUUUAUCAAACAGCUUAAAAUGCUUAGAAUCAGUUCCUAGGAACAUAAUUAAAAAUAAUCAUUUCUAAUCAGAAUCUAGUCCAAGAAACAGAAUCGUUACCAACCGCGCCCUAAGUCGAAACUUAACAAAAACGUGAACGGAAGUGUUUGAUCAUGAAGAAGAAGAAGAAGAAGAAGCAAUACCAUUCGCUAAGGGAGAACUCACGCACGCAGAAGGGGGGGGAGGAAGCAGGGGAAAAUGGCUCCCAUCUUCCAUCAUCUCCGGUCACCAUUCGAUAACCUUUUCGUCGCGGUAUCUCGAGUUCCGAUAUAGCCACUAGCUACCAUGGCCCGAUUAUUACAAGUUCCAACUCCUUCGCCGGUCGCGCGGUCAACCAUCAGUCUCAUGAGGAACGCAUUUGCUCAUUUCAUCGAGAUCACCAUUCCACCAAAAAAAAAAAAGAACAUGGAGCAAGGAAAAUUCAUCUCAAAAAAGCGAUUCCGUUCGAUUCAGUUGGCGAUUUCAAGCGUUCUGAAUUGAUUCCAGUGGCAGUCGCCAGCAUCAACAGCCUCUUCAACGCCGCGACUCAUCUCCUUUGUUCCCCUCUGUUCCGCGGCCGAGAGCCUCGAAAUGUUCCAGUUCGCUCGGAGCUUCUCCACCUGUUCAGGUUUCCAUCAUCGACACGUUCUAGAGCUUCUUUCAGUGAUUCGUGCGGCCAAUGGUGGCCUCAAUCCGCU
rnacentral:lncRNA from 1 species